UACGUAGGCAGCAAGCGUUGUUCGGAGUUACUGGGCGUAAAGGGUGUGUAGGCGGUUGUUUAAGUUUGGUGUGAAAUCUCCCGGCUCAACUGGGAGGGUGCGCCGAAUACUGAAUGACUAGAGUGCGGGAGAGGAAAGUGGAAUUCCUGGUGUAGCGGUGAAAUGCGUAGAUAUCAGGAGGAACACCAGUGGCGAAGGCGGCUCUCUGGGGUAUUUCUGACGCUGAGACACGAAAGCCAGGGGAGCGAACGGG
rnacentral:rRNA from 1 species